CCUGCCUCAGCCUCCUGAUAGCUGGGACUACAGGUGCCCGCCACCACGCCCGGCUAAUUUUUUUGUAUUUUUAGUAGAGACGGGGUUUCGCCAUGUUAGCCAGGAUGGUCUCAAUCUGACCUCGUGAUCCGCCCACCUCGGCCUCCCAAAGUGGUGGGAUUACAGGUGUGAGCCACCUCCCCGGCUGGUGCUACACACUUUUAAAUGACCGGAUCUGUGAACUCAGAGCAAGAGCUCUCCUAUCACCAAAGGAAUGGCUCAAGCCAUUCAUGAAGAUCUGCCCCCACGAUCCAAACACUUCCCACUAGGCCCCAUCUCCAGCACUGAGGAUUCCAUCUCAACAUGACAUCUGAGAAAUUAUGGAACUGUGGAUGUGACAGAGCCAUUGCUGAAAAAUAUGUUUGUUGGCAGGCUCAUAAGCAGAAGGGACUCACCUUAUCUCAGAUAAGACGCUGGACUUGGACUUUUGUUAAUGCUGGAAUGAGUUAAGCCUUUGGGUUACUGUUGAGAAGGGAUAAUUGUAUUUUAAAAUGUGAGAAGGACAUGAGAUUUGGGAGGGGUCGGGGCAAAAUGAUAUUGUUUGUUUCUGUGUCCCCAACCAAAUCUCAUGUUGAAUUGUAAUCCCCAUGUGUCAGGGCUGGGACCUGGAGGGAGGAGAUCAGAUCAUGGGAGCAGAUUCCCCCAUGCUGCUCUUGUGAUAGUGAGUGAGUUUUCACAAGUUCUGAUGAUUUAAAAAUGUGGCACUUCCCCCGCUCUCUUCUGCUGCCUUGUGAAGAAGGUGCUUGCUUCUCCUUCACCUUCUGUCAUGAUUGUAAGUUUCCUGAGGCCACCCUAGCCAAGCAGAAAUGUGAGUCAAUUAAAUAUAUUUUCGUUAUAAAUUACCCAUUCUCAGAUAGUUCUUUAUAGCAGUGUGAAAACAGACUAAUGCAAUCAUUAUCAAGUAUUCUGUACUGUAUGUAAUUGAAUGUGACAUCACUUUUGUACAACUGGCAAUACAAUAAGCUUGAUUUCACUAACAUCACCACAAAAAUGUGAGUUUUUCAUUGUAUUGUGAUGUUACAAUGUCUACGAUGUCACUAGGCUAUAAGGACAUUUUAGGUCCAUUGAAAUCUUAUGGGGCCACCAUCGUAUAUGUGUUCAAUCACUAAUUGAACGUUUUUAUAUGGCAUAUGACUGUAUAGGUCAAACAUUAUCAAAUUGUAUACCUUAAAUAUGUGUAGUUUAUUGUAUUUCAAUUUUAUCUCAAUAAAACCACUUUAAAAUAUCCAUACUGUAAGGACUCAUCACCCCAUAACAAAACAAUGUUUCAAGAAUUAUGUAGAACAGUUUAUUUUUAAAAACCCACCAUCAUACAGAAAAAAAGAAAUCCAUACAGUAUAAAAAGAGUCUUCUCUCUUGAUCAUACUUAUGGCCAAGUUAUCAUCAGUUGUUUUUAUGGGGUACAUUUUUGUCUAAGUGUGCCACAUAUUAUGCUUACACAAAGAUAUCUGGUUUGUGGGACAACUCAUCUGUCCAUUUAUAGUUCUUAAUAAUCAUCUGCACUGUAACAAAAAGUAAUCCUAGUAAUGCUUAGUACAUUUCUCUUAAUAGUGAACAAAUGUCAACAAAAUUUACAUUCAAGGUAAUAUUGCUCCUUUGUCCUAUGGAAUAUGUACUGAGAAAAAAUAUGGAUUUCCAGCUAUCACCCUAUAUAAAUGAAAAGUUGUAGGCUCAUAAGUUAUUCAAAUUUCAAUUAUUCCCCCAUAAAAUAAAUGACUAGUCAUAAACAAAUUCAAAUAUUUAGCUCAAAUUUUUUGAUUACAUUAAUUUAUAUAAUAAAACACACCAAUUAAAAAUGAUUUUGGACAACAAAACUCGAGAUAGUCUUAAGCUAAAUAACAGAUUACAUUACUUUAUAUACAGCAUCUUCUUAUUUUUGUGAAUUUAUAUAUGUCAAAAUGAUGCACAGAUUAUUAUUCUGUAUCUAAUUAUGUAGUCUAAAUAUUUUAAAAUUUGGCUAAAAUACAGGAAAAAGUGACCAGUUUCUCAUAAAUGUGUUUAAUGUGUACUUCCUAAUAGCCUUGGUUUCUUAUAUUAUCAAAGCUCUUAUACAUCGACAAGUAGAUAAAUGUAGAACCCAGUAUACACUUAUAACAUGACUGCAGAGGGCCUAGAAAGUUGUCUCCUAUACUAAAAAUCAUGAAACAUAAUAAUAACAGCAACAGCAGUGGCAAAAACAUAUUGCUAUCUCCACAUCACCAACCUUCUAUCCACUAUGAAUUGUUCAUGUAACUUGAUUCUAUAGCAUUUACUUCUAUCAACAAGUAAUUAACAAAGAGGAAAAUUUUUCUCAUUUUAAAAUAAAAAUAAUUUUCAGAAGAGUUACAUGUCAUUAAAACAAUUGUAUAAUAUAGUUUAUCCAAUUACACUUAUUGAAACAUUUAGUGGGUACUCACUCUAUGCAUGCCACUAUGCUGGGGCCAGAGAUACGAGGAUAAAUAUGUUGCAUUUUUUGCCCUUAAAGUUAUUAUGAUCUUCUAUAGGAAAUAGAGAAAAAUUGAUCAAUUAUUAUAUACAGCAGCAGUCUCCAACCUUUUUGUCAUCAGGGACCAGUUUGUAGAAGAUAAUUUUUCCAUGGACCAAGGCAUAGAUGGUUUGGGGAUAAAACAGUGCCACCUCAGAUCAUCAGGCAUUAGAUUCUCAUAAGGAGUGUGCAACCUAGAUCCCGCACAUCUGUGGUUCACAAUAGUGUUGUUAGAGCUCCUAUGAGAAUCUAAUGCAGCUACUGAUCUGACAGGAGGCGGAGCUUAGGCGGUAAUGCUGUCUAACCCACUGCUCACCUCCCACUGUGUGGCCCAGUCACCAACUGGUACCAGGGGUUUAGGGACCCCUGAUAUAUGGCGUUUGCAAGUAGUAUAAAAAUACACAUGAUAGCCCUUUACCCAAGAUAGUGUGCUAGUGUGUGUGUGUGUGUGAGUGUGUGUGUGUAUGUGUGUGUGUGUGAGAGAGAGGAUAGAAUUAGAAAUGAGAACAGGUUCAGGGGAGGCCUCUUCAAGAAUAAGUGAGAUUGCUCUUGAAAUAAAUUUUGAAGGAUAACUAAGAGUUGAUGAAGCAAAGGAAGGUAGGCCAGUAUUCACAUGCUAGGAAACAACCCAUUUAGAGGCUCAAGGAAAGCUUGCACAUUCAGGAGCCUGCAAAUUGUUGACUAUGACUAGAAUGUAGAGUGUAAAGAAGAAAGUGGCAGUAGAGAGAAAUAAAGGUGAGAUGCAGAGAAUUAAAAUCAUCAUGACCUUGUAUUGUGUGUUAAAAAGUUAAGACAUCAUCCUGAUCAUAUUUUUUCCCUCUAAUAAUUUUAGCUAAGAGUAGUCAUUACGAAAAAGAAGACUUUUAUGACUUUUAUGGGGAGAAUGAGGACAGCACUAACAUUUAUUGAAGACCUGUUUUGUCUGAUGGUUAGGAAGAGUCUGACUCCAUGUUUUAUAUUUGACUGCACAGCAUUUAGGCUCCUACCCUGCCCUGCCCAAACACUAUAUAUCUGGUACUAUAGACAAAUAAACCUGCAUGCCUUUUGAGAUUUUGGGUCCUGUGGAAAUUUGAACUUCACAGCCCCAGACUGAAUGUGAGAACUCCUCUCCAGCCCCACUCUCUCGCCAUUACAAAAGUCAAACCAACUCUCUGCUCAUUGUUCUUGCCGUUCUAGCCAGAUCAGCUUGCAGUUACCUUGCUCUAUGUACAAUUUCCUGAUGUGAAUAAUAAACUCCUUGCAAAUUAUCAAGGUGUGUGAAGUGUCGUCAGUCUGGAUAUGUGGCCUAUUAACUG
rnacentral:lncRNA from 1 species